rnacentral:rRNA from 1 species
GCCAGACUCCUACGGGAGGCAGCAGUGGGGAAUAUUGGGCAAUGGGCGCAAGCCUGACCCAGCAACGCCGCGUGAAGGAUGAAGGUUUUCGGAUUGUAAACUUCUGUCGCGAGGGACGAAGAAUGACGGUACCUCGUAAGAAAGCCCCGGCUAACUACGUGCCAGCAGCCGCGGUAAUACGUAGGUGGCAAGCGUUGUCCGGAUUUACUGGGUGUAAAGGGCGUGUAGCCGGGAAGGCAAGUCAGAUGUGAAAUCUGGAGGCUCAACCUCCAAAUUGCAUUUGAAACUGUUUUUCUUGAGUACUGGAGAGGCAGACGGAAUUCCUUGUGUAGCGGUGAAAUGCGUAGAUAUAAGGAGGAACACCGGCGGCGAAGGCGGCCUGCUGGACCGUAACUGACGUUGAGGCUCGAAAGCGUGGGGAGCAAACAGGAUUAGAUACCCUAGUAGA